AGCGAACGCUGGCGGCGUGCUUAACACAUGCAAGUCGAACGUGAAAGGGAGCAAUCCUGAGUAAAGUGGCGUACGGGUGAGUAACGCGUAGGUAAUCUACCCCAGAGUCUGGAAUAACAUGCCGAAAGGCGUGCUAAUACUGGAUAGAGCGAGGAAAUUCGUAAUUGAAUUUUUCGGGAAAGGGAGGAAGCAAUUCCCUUUGCUCUGGGAUGAGCCUGCGUCUCAUAGCUAGUUGGUGAGGUAACGGCUCACCAAGGCAGUGAUGGGUAGCUGGUCUGAGAGGAUGAUCAGCCACACUGGAACUGAAACACGGUCCAGACUCCUACGGGAGGCAGCAGUGGGAAUAUUGGACAAUGGGCGAAAGCCUGAUCCAGCCAUGCCGCGUGAGUGA
rnacentral:rRNA from 1 species